CGGGGCGUAGCGCAGCUUGGUAGCGCAUCUGGUUUGGGACCAGAGGGUCGCAGGUUCAAAUCCUGUCGCCCCGACCA
rnacentral:tRNA from 1 species